AUGUUUACUAAAUUCCUAGAAGGACUUAAACUAUCCACCUCGCCGAUGAAAGUGGGUGAUCCCACUAACAAGGUGACGGAUGCUAACUCUGACAAGGGGGAAGCUAAUAGUGAGAAGGGUCCUUCUACUAGUGGUAGAAAUGGCACCGGCAUCUAUGCCCAUGUGGAACCUCCUACUUAUGGUGGACCAAUUCCCUCUACUCAUUUAAAUCAUGCCGGUCCUCCUCCUAAGAUUGUGAAAAAUGAGGAUUUUGAUGCUUGGGUUUAUCGUUUCAAGCGUCAUUUAAAACAUGUGAAUACUAAUCUUUGGAGAAUCAUAGAAGAAGGUUUCUAUCCACAUGACCCAAGCAACUUCACCCCUCAAGAAGCCGUGGAUAAUCAAUUCAAUGAGAGUGCUCUCUUCAUCAUCCAAGAUGCAAUCCUUCUCGAAGAUCUUCCUCAUCUUCGACCUCAUGCCAUGGCUAAAGACGCAUGGCAAUGUGUUGUGUCUCUCUAUCGAGGAAGUGCUAGCAUUCAACGCUCCAACUAUGAAGUGGUGCAAGAUGAAGCCGAUGAGUUUGCAAUGAAAGAAGAUGAAGAACCUCGUGAGCUCUUUCGAAGAGUGACCAAACUCGCGGUCGCACUCUGA
rnacentral:rRNA from 1 species